rnacentral:rRNA from 1 species
AGCCCGCUCGCCGGAAGACCAAGGGUUCCUGUCCAACGUUAAUCGGGGCAGGGUGAGUCGACCCCUAAGGCGAGGCCGAAAGGCGUAGUCGAUGGGAAACAGGUUAAUAUUCCUGUACUUGGUGUUACUGCGAAGGGGGGACGGAGAAGGCUAUGUUGGCCGGGCGACGGUUGUCCCGGUUUAAGCGUGUAGGCUGGUUUUCCAGGCAAAUCCGGAAAAUCAAGGCUGAGGCGUGAUGACGAGGCACUACGGUGCUGAAGCAACAAAUGCCCUGCUUCCAGGAAAAGCCUCUAAGCAUCAGGUAACAUCAAAUCGUACCCCAAACCGACACAGGUGGUCAGGUAGAGAAUACCAAGGCGCUUGAGAGAACUCGGGUGAAGGAACUAGGCAAAAUGGUGCCGUAACUUCGGGAGAAGGCACGCUGAUAUGUAGGUGAAGCGACUUGCUCGUGGAGCUGAAAUCAGUCGAAGAUACCAGCUGGCUGCAACUGUUUAUUAAAAACACAGCACUGUGCAAACACGAAAGUGGACGUAUACGGUGUGACGCCUGCCCGGUGCCGGAAGGUUAAUUGAUGGGGUUAGCGGUAACGCGAAGCUCUUGAUCGAAGCCCCGGUAAACGGCGGCCGUAACUAUAACGGUCCUAAGGUAGCGAAAUUCCUUGUCGGGUAAGUUCCGACCUGCACGAAUGGCGUAAUGAUGGCCAGGCUGUCUCCACCCGAGACUCAGUGAAAUUGAACUCGCUGUGAAGAUGCAGUGUACCCGCGGCAAGACGGAAAGACCCCGUGAACCUUUACUAUAGCUUGACACUGAACAUUGAGCCUUGAUGUGUAGGAUAGGUGGGAGGCUUUGAAGUGUGGACGCCAGUCUGCAUGGAGCCGACCUUGAAAUACCACCCUUUAAUGUUUGAUGUUCUAACGUUGGCCCGUUAUCCGGGUUGCGGACAGUGUCUGGUGGGUAGUUUGACUGGGGCGGUCUCCUCCUAAAGAGUAACGGAGGAGCACGAAGGUUGGCUAAUCCUGGUCGGACAUCAGGAGGUUAGUGCAAUGGCAUAAGCCAGCUUGACUGCGAGCGUGACGGCGCGAGCAGGUGCGAAAGCAGGUCAUAGUGAUCCGGUGGUUCUGAAUGGAAGGGCCAUCGCUCAACGGAUAAAAGGUACUCCGGGGAUAACAGGCUGAUACCGCCCAAGAGUUCAUAUCGACGGCGGUGUUUGGCACCUCGAUGUCGGCUCAUCACAUCCUGGGGCUGAAGUAGGUCCCAAGGGUAUGGCUGUUCGCCAUUUAAAGUGGUACGCGAGCUGGGUUUAGAACGUCGUGAGACAGUUCGGUCCCUAUCUGCCGUGGGCGCUGGAGAACUGAGGGGGGCUGCUCCUAGUACGAGAGGACCGGAGUGGACGCAUCACUGGUGUUCGGGUUGUCAUGCCAAUGGCACUGCCCGGUAGCUAAAUGCGGAAGAGAUAAGUGCUGAAAGCAUCUAAGCACGAAACUUGCCCCGAGAUGAGUUCUCCCUGACUCCCUGAGAGUCCUGAAGGAACGUUGAAGACGACGACGUUGAUAGGCCGGGUGUGUAAGCGCAGCGAUGCGUUGAGCUAACCGGUACUAAUGAACCGUGAGGCUUAACCUU